rnacentral:lncRNA from 1 species
CAGCCUUUGCACCGGUGAAGCUGGCGUGCUCGCUGGGAAAAGAAAAAGCUGUCUGGGGGUGAAAAUGGAGGCGAAACCAUUUAGGCAGCUAGGGAGGCUUCUGAAGACUGUUUUCCCGCCCUGCAGGACAGUCAAUGAGGGUGCAGAGGGUGCCUGGAAGAGACCGGGAGACAAGAGAUGCGAAGAAGGAUGCCAAGACAAGAGUCUGAUCAAGUGAACUCCUGAAGUCACCAUCUGCAACCUCUCGGUGGCAAUAUGAAGGAGCAGGGUGGGCUGAGCCCUCAGAGUGUUUAUAGCAUUAAUUAGAAACUGGAAGUAGGCGGCAGCACAGGGAGGAGGAGCAAGGCAAGUUCCCAGGACCAGACAUGAAGAGCACCUACCUAACAUUCACUGUGUUAUAUAAACAAAUACAUUUGCAUUGUACUCAGCC